ACUCGUCUCGCUAGCCCGUCAUCCAGACCCUGGCUCAGCCGAGACUCGCCACACAUGUCCAGCUGGUGAACCGGCUCUGAUACCACUUUAAUCUGUCACGACUCGGAAUCCCUUUAGGUUAAAAACACCGCGGAAUUUUUUUUUUUUUUAAACCUAACCCCAGGGAAUACCAGAUCCGCCACAAAUACAGGAAAUCCACUGUUCACACGCAUAGAGUCUCCCCUAUAUUUGCACGGCGUUGCACAAGUACAAGAAGUAACCCAGAUACAACCACAACCAAAUGAAUAUAGAAACGACUAUGCAAUCAUUCAUUCACUAUUCACAUCACAGUUAUACAUUCAAUAUUUAAGCAUAAAUCCACAGAAAAUUCUUUUGAAAACUGUUUUCUACACGGAAACCUUUAUUCUUUAAAAACACUAUCACGAGGGGUAGAAAAUCUUUUAUUUACGAAAACCACGAAUCCUUUUUACUACAUUCAUAAAGCCAAAUUAAAAUAUGAUAGUUAACUGAAAUACCCAAAAACUGAACCAUAUAAACUAUCUAAGCUAUAUCAACAGGACAGUAAGGGUAGAAACUAAAUCGAAUAAACUGGGUCGGAAGCUCUAUCGACCGCUACGUACGUAUCACACGUCUCGUCUCAACCCUCACCGCCUGCGAUACCUGAAAAAUAGUGGGGGAGGUGAGAACAUGUAAAUAUG
rnacentral:lncRNA from 1 species